rnacentral:sRNA from 1 species
GUUUAAAACCAAAUCACUGCAUAAUGAUAAUCGCAUCGACGGAUCAUGCAUAAGGAUGUGCAAAAGACUAACCCAAAAGUGCGCAAAUAAUCCGGAUUAAUGGAUGAAUGUCUUCAAGAUAUGAUUUGUGAGACCAUUUCCUCUUUUUUGCAUUGCAUAUAGGUCUCGAACAGCUGGUUGGUGAUAUGAAAUGGCGAAAGCUAAGAGCAAUUGUAGUUGAUGAAGCACUCACAGUCAUACAAUGUGGAAAAUCUCAGACAAGAAAACAGAAACAUUUUGAGAAUGGGUUUUUAGAAUCUGAGAACUUCGUUCACUGUGUUCCAGCGCUCAAAUGGUGACACUUACAGCAACAGCAGGGCCAAGCAACAGAAGAAAAAUAUUCAAUCAAUUAAGCUUUUCUUCUAAUGCAGAAAUUGUUGAUGAAUCUCCUGACAGAUUGAAUAUAAAAAUAUCAUCUAAAUGUAUUCCUAAUAAUAACCAAUUCGAGGAUGUGUUUUCACGGUUAAUUUCUGACUUGACAGCACUAAAAGAAAAGAUGUCCUGUCAUGAUAUAUUUUGUGAGUCUAUAUCUGAAGUUUCAAAACUGUACGUUGCUUUUGUUAAAAUAUUUGGUGCAAACUGUGAAUUGAUUAACAUGUAUCAUAGUAAAACUAAUAAAAAGUUGAAAGAAAAUAAUCAGAGCUGACAUGGCUGUGGAUGGGAAAAUUCGAAUUCUUAUCUGCAAUAAUUCUGCUUGGAUAGGCGUUAAUUUUUUUGGUCUGAAUAAUAUUGUUCAUUAUGGAUCGCCCGGAAAAUUGACACUUUUGUGCAACAAAUUUGGCGAUGUGGUAGAGAUGGAAUGCUGUCAAAUGAACCCAUACUAUUAAAAAACCACAAGGGACACUUAAAGAAGGUUGAAUGUGAACUCGUAAAAUUGGCAGCAAUUAAUGAAUGCGAAACAAUUUGUGCAAUGCAUAUGCGAUGGAAAAAGCUAAUAUCAUUCCCAUUCAUAAUUGCUGUGAUGUUUGUGAGCAGAAGUAUAGUUGUGGUGAUGACACUUGUCCCAACACCCAAGAGGCAGAACAGGAAGAAGAAGCAGAGGACGAAAUGAGUCGAGAGGUGUCUGAAGAAGAAAAUUUCUCAAACAAAAGUUAUUAGCUUUGAAAUAUCAAAUGUCGGUUUAAUUUGACCGUGUUUUGCAAUUUGAGUUAAUUUAUGGUUUAACAGAUAAAGUUAUUGAUAGUGUUGUUGAAAUCUGUCGUCUAAUAUUUAAUCCAGAUGAUGUCAUGAAGUGUUGUCAAAUAUGGUCAUAUGCAUCAGCUGUAAUUGUAAGUAAUAUUGUCAAUGAAGUAUUUGGAGACAUAUAAUUUUUUUCAGAUAGACACCGACUCUGAAUAAUAAAGUAUUGUAUAUAAAUGUGCCCCACAACAGCUCGAUACGCCAAUCAAUUAUUGUUAAAUUAUAAUAGUUUUGAGAUCAAGAGAUUAGUCAACCAUUUCACCUAUAAUGUUUGAUGUACAUACAUCUCCUGUGGUUUAGGUAUUAUUAUAACAAGUGCCUAUCUGAAGCUUUUGUUCAUUGCAUGGUUGAUUAUCAAUGAUACAUCCUAUCAGAUUGUGUUUAUUCUUUUCUUAUCUUAGUAAGACAUGACACUGUUCAAUUUAUGUAAAGAUAUAAAAUUUAUAUGAAAUAAAAUAGACUUGCUGAUGU